GACAGAGGGUGCAAACGUUGUUCGGAAUUACUGGGCGUGAAGCGCGUGUAGGCGGCUCUGCAAGUCGGAUGUGAAAGCCCUGGGCUCAACCUAGGAAGUGCACUCGAAACUGCAGAGCUUGAGUCUCGGAGAGGAUCGCGGAAUUCUCGGUGUAGAGGUGAAAUUCGUAGAUAUCGAGAGGAACACCGGUGGCGAAGGCGGCGAUCUGGACGAUGACUGACGCUGAGACGCGAAAGCGUGGGGAGCAAACAGG
rnacentral:rRNA from 1 species